rnacentral:rRNA from 1 species
GACGAACGCUGGCGGCGUGCUUAACACAUGCAAGUCGAACGGAAAGGCCCUGCUUUUGUGGGGUGCUCGGGUGGCGAACGGGUGAGUAACACGUGAGUAACCUGCCCUUGACUUUGGGAUAACUUCAGGAAACUGGGGCUAAUACCGGAUAGGAGCUCCUGCUGCAUGGUGGGGGUUGGAAAGUUUCGGCGGUUGGGGAUGGACUCGCGGCUUAUCAGCUUGUUGGUGGGGUAGUGGCUUACCAAGGCUUUGACGGGUAGCCGGCCUGAGAGGGUGACCGGCCACAUUGGGACUGAGAUACGGCCCAGACUCCUACGGGAGGCAGCAGUGGGGAAUAUUGCACAAUGGGCGGAAGCCUGAUGCAGCAACGCCGCGUGCGGGAUGACGGCCUUCGGGUUGUAAACCGCUUUCGCCUGUGACGAAGCGUGAGUGACGGUAAUGGGUAAAGAGGCACCGGCUAACUACGU